GUGUGUGAAGCAGUGCAGCAGCACGUGAGAGAGUCGCGAGAAAGAAAACGGAGCUUGAUGUGGCGUCAUCGCUGCCUGGCGACUUGUUGCUUAGCGACGGAAAGACAGCUGUUCCGAUGAGGGCCAAUCAGGAGGCGCCGAGAUGCGCGUGCCGUUAGAAAACGGGGAUAUUUUGGGGGAUAUUUUUUAUAGUGUUGUUUAAAAGGCUUCAUCACUCACACACACAUAUGCGCGCGCGCGCGGUGGGCGCAGAUAGAGACAGACACUGGAACGGGAUAUUAACGCGUCUACAUCCGGGAAAUUAUUAUAAUAAAGCCCCACUGAGCCGGAGGAGUGUGAGAGAGAGAGCAAAGACCUGCUGAUGUGUGGCUUUUCCUCCAGCAGCUUUAUAAACGAUGAUAUAAUCCACAAACCAAGGCGUGUUUGAUUCUUCUUCUAUUCUUCUGUUAGCAACUUUUGGCGUGUGUGUGUUAGAUACAGGAGAGAUGCUCAGGUGAACCCGGCCGUCGCUAGAAAGUGGUCAGGAUCUUCACAGUGAGUGUGCACUUAUCGAUCAACGACGUCGAAAGUCGCCUACUUUAAGAGGAAGUAUGCGGAAGAGGAGGAUGUCCAAGGACGCCGACAUGGAUAUUUACAAAAACACUUGAUCUUACGUGAGGAGCGCAGCUGCAUUUUGCGCCUGUCGCUGCAGAAGCUGCGUUACCUGGAUGACCCUGAGGCCUUCCUGCACCGCGCUGUUCUCAUCAACAACCUGCUGCGCAAAAUCCACCUGGACGAUGGGCAGAAGGACCGGGACAGACAGAGGAAUGGAGAGAAGGAAGAAGAAGGAGAGAGGCUUUUUUACUUGGACAGGAAGAGACUAAAAGUCAUGGUGACACCUGAACAUGGACAUUCCAUCUUUCUCUAUCCACUUAAUAACAAUUAUUAAUAUCACACUGUAUGAAAGUGCUGGCAAUUAAACCCCCCCACCUCUCUCUCACUCUCUCUGUCUCUCUGUCUCUCUGUCUCUCUCUCUCUCUCUCUGUGUGUGUGUGUGUGUGUGUGUGUGUGUGUGUGUGUGUGUGUGUGUGUGUGUGUGUGUGUGUGUGUGUGUGUGUGUGUGUGUGUGUGUGUGUGUGUGUGUGUGUUAGCCUGUGUGUCAGCAUUAAACACUCAGAAACUGGGGUUGUUGCAGUAUAAGAUGUACUCCAUCAGCAUCAGUGAACAUCAGGGUUUUCUUUUUUACACUUAAAAAGAACAACUCGAGCCUAACUGCCUCUCUAAAUAAACUUUACGUGUUCUUUUU